GAUGAACGCUAGCGGCAGGCUUAACACAUGCAAGUCGAGGGGUAGAAGUUGCUUGCAACUUUGAGACCGGCGCACGGGUGCGUAACGCGUAUGCAAUCUACCUUAUACAGAGGGAUAGCCCAGAGAAACUUGGAUUAAUACCUCAUAGUAUAAUUGAAUGGCAUCAUUUAAUUAUUAAAGUUCCAACGGUAUAAGAUGAGCAUGCGUCCUAUUAGCUAGAUGGUAAGGUAACGGCCUACCAUGGCAACGAUAGGUAGGGGUCCUGAGAGGGAGAUCCCCCACACUGGUACUGAGACACGGACCAGACUCCUACGGGAGGCAGCAGUGAGGAAUAUUGGACAAUGGGCGCAAGCCUGAUCCAGCCAUGCCGCGUGCAGGAAGAAGCAUCUAUGGUGUGUAAACUGCUUUUGUACGGGAAGAAACACUCCUUCGUGAAGGAGCUUGACGGUACCGUAAGAAUAAGGAUCGGCUAACUCCGUGCCAGCCGCCGCAGUAACAC
rnacentral:rRNA from 1 species